UAUGUAGGGUGCAAGCGUUAAUCGGAAUUACUGGGCGUAAAGCGUGCGCAGGCGGUUUUGUAAGUCUGUCGUGAAAUCCCCGGGCUCAACCUGGGAAUUGCGAUGGAGACUGCAAGGCUAGAAUCUGGCAGAGGGGGGUAGAAUUCCACGUGUAGCAGUGAAAUGCGUAGAGAUGUGGAGGAACACCGAUGGCGAAGGCAGCCCCCUGGGUCAAGAUUGACGCUCAUGCACGAAAGCGUGGGGAGCAAACAGGAAUUAGAAAACCCGGGGU
rnacentral:rRNA from 1 species